AGCAUCCAAUCUACCAAAGACUUUCUCCUCUACAUCACACUGCAGUGGUUUCUGUCAAGUGGUUGGUUACCAGGAUGGAAUUGCAGACUGGUUCAGGUGCUUGGGCCUUGCAUGAAAAAAUCUCUUCCUGAACUCCCUCAAAACCUCCACAAAGUACUCUUUGUUGACUGUCAGGCCUGAGGGAACCCAGUGGAUCUAGAGGAUUCUUUGGGGUUUAAAUAAAU